GAUGAAGAACGCAGCGAAAUGCGAUACGUAAUGUGAAUUGCAGAAUUCAGUGAAUCAUCGAGUCUUUGAACGCACAUUGCGCCCUCUGGUAUUCCGGAGGGCAUGCCUGUCCGAGCGUCAUUGCUGCCCUCAAGCACGGCUUGUGUGUUGGGCUCCGUCCUCCUUCCGGGGGACGGGCCCGAAAGGCAGCGGCGGCACCGCGUCCGGUCCUCAAGCGUAUGGGGCUUUGUCACCCGCUUUGUAGGACUGGCCGGCACCUGCCGAUCAACCAAACUUUUUUCCAGGUUGACCUCGGAUCAGGUAGGGAUACCCGCUGAACUUAAGCAUAUCAAUAAGCGGAGGA
rnacentral:misc_RNA from 1 species